GACGAACGCUGGCGGCGUGCCUAAUACAUGCAAGUCGAGCGCAGGAAGCUGACGGAACUCUUCGGAGGGAAGGCAGUGGAAUGAGCGGCGGACGGGUGAGUAACACGUAAGGAACCUGCCUCAAGGAUUGGGAUAACUCCGAGAAAUCGGAGCUAAUACCGGAUAGUUCAUCGGACCGCAUGGUCCGUUGAUGAAAGGCGCUUCGGCGUCACCUUGAGAUGGCCUUGCGGUGCAUUAGCUAGUUGGUGGGGUAACGGCCCACCAAGGCGACGGGGCAUAGCCGACCUGGGAGGGUGAUCGGCCACACUGGGACUGAGAAACGGCCCAGACUCCUACGGGAGGCAGCAGUAGGGAAUCUUCCACAAUGGACGAAAGUCUGAUGGAGCAACGCCGCGUGAGUGAUGAAGGUUUUCGGAUCGUAAAACUCUGUUGUAAGGGAAGAACACGUACGAGAGGGAAUGCUCGUACCUUGACGGUACCUUACGAGAAAGCCACGGCUAACUACGUGCCAGCCGCCGCCGUAA
rnacentral:rRNA from 1 species